CCCUUAGACGUUCUGGGCCGCACGCGCGCUACACUGACGAAGGCAACGAGCUUUCCUUUACCGAAAGGUACGGGUAAUCUUUUGAAACUUCGUCGUGCUGGGGAUAGAUCCUUGCAAUUUUUGAUCUUAAACGAGGAAUGCCUAGUAAGCGCAAGUCGUCAACUUGCGUUGAUUACGUCCCUGCCCUUUGUACACACCGCCCGUCGCUACUACCGAUUGAAUGGUUUAGUGAGGCCUUCGGAUCCGCGACUCGUUUGUGGAGAAGUUGGACAAACUCAGUCAUUUAGAGGAAGUAAAAGUCGUAACA
rnacentral:rRNA from 1 species